GACGAGGGAUCCUAGCGUUGUUCGGAAUCAUUGGGCGUAAAGCGGGUGUAGGCGGACUUAUAAGUCAGGUGUGAAAUCCCAGGGCUCAACCCUGGAAGUGCACUUGAUACUGUAAGUCUUGAGUGUGGUAGAGGCUAUUAGAAUUCCUGGUGUAGUGGUGAAAUACGUAGAUAUCAGGAGGAAUACCGGAGGCGAAGGCGGAUAGCUGGGCCAACACUGACGCUGAGACCCGAAAGCGUGGGGAGCAAACAGG
rnacentral:rRNA from 1 species